AAUGGUGGCUAUGGCGAGGGUGUCCACCUCUUCCCUUUCCGAACAGAGAAGUUAAGACCCUCAGCGCUGAUGGUACUGCCGUAACACGUGGGAGAGUAAGUCGCCGCCAACA
rnacentral:rRNA from 1 species